rnacentral:rRNA from 1 species
AUGGCCUCUGGAUUGGACUGCGGCCGAUCAGGCUGUUGGUGAGGUAAUGGCCCACCAAACCUGUUACCGGUACGGGCUCUGAGAGGAGGAGCCCGGAGAUGGGCACUGAGACAAGGGCCCAGGCCCUAUGGGGCGCAGCAGGCGCGAAACCUCUGCAAUAGGCGAAAGCCUGACAGGGUUACUCUGAGUGAUUCCCGCUAAGGGGAUCUUUUGGCACCUCUAAAAAUGGUGCAGAAUAAGGGGUGGGCAAGUCUGGUGUCAGCCGCCGCGGUAAUACCAGCACCCCGAGUGGUCGGGACGAUUAUUGGGCCUAAAGCAUCCGUAGCCGGUCAUGCAAGUCCUCCGUUAAAUCCACCUGCUCAACAGAUGGGCUGCGGAGGAUACUACAAGGCUAGGAGGCGGAAGAGGCAAGCGGUACUCAGUGGGUAGGGGUAAAAUCCUCUGAUCCAUUGAAGACCACCAGUGGCGAAGGCGGCUUGCCAAUACGCGCUCGACGGUGAGGGAUGAAAGCUGGGGGAGCAAACCGGAUUAGAUACCCGGGUAGUCCCAGCUGUAAACGAUGCAGACUCGGUGAUGGGCUGGCUUUAUGCCGGCUCAGUGCCGCAGGGAAGCCGUUAAGUCUGCCGCCUGGGGAGUACGGUCGCAAGACUGAAACUUAAAGGAAUUGGCGGGGGAGCACCAC